CGUCACUAUCUAUACAAAAUCCCCAAACCACUAAAACCCCACCGCCGACGACGCAAUUGCUGUCCACUUCUCCACUCCGUUCGCUUGUCUUCUCCAUUUGACGGCUAAAUCUCCAGUUGUUGAACUCCCUUUUUUUUUUUUUACUUACUUUGUGGAAGUGCUUUCAUUUCUCUAGUACUACUUUGUGUUUUUCUUACCUACUUCUGAUAACUUUUUGUGAAUCUUCUUUGGCUAUUUUGUACCAUAUGGUAAAAGUGCCCCUUUUCCGAAGUAAAAGUCCUGUUAGAAUGCUGAAUCUUCUUCGCCUACUUUGUGUUCCUACUUCUGCUGACUUUUAGUGAAUCUUCUUUGUUAUAUCAUUUUAUUGAUUCUUUCUUCUGGGGUUGUGUGCUCGCAAGAAGGAGCUGAAGAAUAAGCAGAGAGAAGAGGAGAGGAAGCGCAAAGAAGAGGAAAAGGCAAAACAGGGGUGGGGCCAUAAAGUUUUUGGGGACGAAGCGACACCACGACAAGUGGCUGAAAGACACUGAGAAUUAUGUGGUAAAAGGUGGCUUUGCAUUAUGUGGUAAGACUUUCUAAACUCUUAUAUAUUUGUGUUAUAUUUAGAGAUUUGCAGCUUUCAUGCCCCCUUUAACAUCUGGUCGUGUAAAUAUAGCAUCAACAGCAGUGUACAUAUCAAAGGUAAUAAUGGAUUUUAAAUCUGGUCUCCCUUCAGUUGUAAAACUUUUGCAGUUGUAUAUAAUUCUUGGGCCAGGGAUGCAGGUAAUCCUGAGAAACUUAAUGAACUAUCGGAAAUUAACAUUCUUCUCCUUUUAGAUUGGCUUAUCAAUAGCUAUAAGGUAUGCAUUAUCAAGGCGGACAUUCUCUAUUACACCAAAUGGACCUGAAAUCCUGUUGCUCGAUUAUCCAAGUCAUCAACGACGACUAUUGCCUCUCCUUGCAAAGACAUAUGCUAUGAGUUCUGCUGCAAACUACACGAAGAUGUUAUAUGUGAAUAGGACACCUCAGUCAAACAAAACCACUCAUGUUAUUUCAAGUGCAUUCAAGGCUACUUUUACCUGGCACAAUCAGCAAACACUACAGGCCAGGAACUUCAAGUACACAUCGAUUAUUUACAUUCAUGUUAAGUGGUCUGAUUCAGACUACUGUUCUUUUAGGAAUGCGGUGAAGCAUGUGGAGGACAAGGCCUGAAGACUGAAAAUCAUGUUGGUCAUUUGAAAAGUGAAUUUGAUGUGCAAUCUACUUUUGAAGGGGACAACAAUGUCCUGAUGUAGCAGUAAAUCCACGCCCUUGCAGACAAGACCGUGGAGUUGCUUGGAGUGACAAUUUUUAGGUUGUUAAGCAAAGGAUGCAGACUGGGCAGUUUGUUUCAGCUCCGGAUGUUGUAAGGAUUUAAGGGUUUAUACGCAGUAUGACAUUGAAAUAGUUAUGUUUACCUGGGGUUCAUUCUUCUUUUAUUUUGAUCUCUGUACUUUGGUUUUUAUUUUGUUCUUUGUACGGUAACAUGUAAAAAGUGUACCAUUCAAUAAAUUAAUUGAGAGAUUGUUGAAUGUUUAAA